rnacentral:rRNA from 1 species
AUACGGAGGAUGCGAGCGUUAUCCGGAUUUAUUGGGUUUAAAGGGUGCGUAGGCGGUUUCUUAAGUCAGCGGUAAAAUUUCUGCGCUCAACGCAGUCUGGCCGUUGAAACUGGGGAACUUGAGUCUGGAUGAAGUGGGCGGAAUUUGUAGUGUAGCGGUGAAAUGCAUAGAUAUUACAAGGAACUCCAAUUGCGCAGGCAGCUCACUAAACCAUCACUGACGCUGAAGCACGAAAGCGGGGGUAUCAAACAGGAUUAGAUAGCCUGGUAGUCCACGCAGUAAACGAUGAUUACUCGCUGUUUGCGAUAUACAGUAAGCGGCUUAGCGAAAGCGUUAAGUAAUCCACCUGGGGAGUACGCCGGCAACGGUGAA